UACGUAGGGUGCGAGCGUUGUCCGGAAUCAUUGGGCGUAAAGAGCGUGUAGGCGGCUCGGUAAGUCCGCUGUGAAAGUCGGGGGCUCAACCCUCGAAUGCCGGUGGAUACUGUCGAGCUAGAGUGCGGAAGAGGCGAGUGGAAUUCCCGGUGUAGCGGUGAAAUGCGCAGAUAUCGGGAGGAACACCAAUGGCGAAGGCAGCUCGCUGGGACGGUACUGACGCUGAGACGCGAAAGCGUGGGGAGCAAACAGG
rnacentral:rRNA from 1 species